rnacentral:rRNA from 1 species
AGAGUUUGAUCAUGGCUCAGGACGAACGCUGGCGGCGUGCCUAACACAUGCAAGUCGAGCGAAGUGACUCAGAGAGAAGUUUUCGGAUGGAUCGAAGAGUCAUCUUAGCGGCGGACGGGUGAGUAACGCGUGAGAAACCUGCCUUUCACAAAGGGAUAGCCUCGGGAAACUGGGAUUAAUACCUUAUGAAACUGAAUUACCGCAUGGUAGAUCAGUCAAAGCGAAUAAGCGGUGAAAGAUGGUCUCGCGUCCUAUUAGCUAGUUGGUGAGGUAACGGCUCACCAAGGCUUCGAUAGGUAGCCGGCCUGAGAGGGUGAACGGCCACACUGGAACUGAGACACGGUCCAGACUCCUACGGGAGGCAGCAGUGGGGAAUAUUGCACAAUGGAGGAAACUCUGAUGCAGCGACGCCGCGUGAAUGAUGAAGGCCUUCGGGUUGUAAAGUUCUGUCCUUGGGGAAGAUAAUGACGGUACCCAAGGAGGAAGCCCCGGCUAACUACGUGCCAGCAGCCGCGGUAAUACGUAGGGGGCGAGCGUUGUCCGGAAUUAUUGGGCGUAAAGGGUUCGCAGGCGGUCUGAUAAGUCAGAUGUGAAAGGCGUAGGCUCAACCUACGUAAGCAUUUGAAACUGUCAGACUUGAGUUAAGGAGAGGAAAGUGGAAUUCCUAGUGUAGCGGUGAAAUGCGUAGAUAUUAGGAGGAAUACCAGUGGCGAAGGCGACUUUCUGGACUUAUACUGACGCUGAGGAACGAAAGCGUGGGGAGCAAACAGGAUUAGAUACCCUGGUAGUCCACGCCGUAAACGAUGAGUGCUAGGUGUUGGGGGUCAAACCUCGGUGCCGCAGCUAACGCAUUAAGCACUCCGCCUGGGGAGUACGUACGCAAGUAUGAAACUCAAAUGAAUUGACGG